rfam:Sphingomonas sp. WG contig_21, whole genome shotgun sequence.
AUAGAGCAUCAGACUACGAAUCUGAGGGUCGGACGUUCGAAUCGUUCCGGGCGCG